rnacentral:rRNA from 1 species
UAGGGAAUCUUGCGCAAUGGGCGAAAGCCUGACGCAGCCAUGCCGCGUGAAUGAUGAAGGUCUUAGGAUUGUAAAAUUCUUUCACCGGGGAAGAUAAUGACGGUACCCGGAGAAGAAGCCCCGGCUAACUUCGUGCCAGCAGCCGCGGUAAUACGAAGGGGGCUAGCGUUGCUCGGAAUUACUGGGCGUAAAGGGCGCGUAGGCGGAUAUUUAAGUUGGGGGUGAAAGCCCGGGGCUCAACCUCGGAAUAGCCUUCAAUACUGGAUAUCUUGAGUUCGGGAGAGGUGAGUGGAAUGCCGAGUGUAGAGGUGAAAUUCGUAGAUAUUCGGCGGAACACCAGUGGCGAAGGCGACUCACUGGCCCGAUACUGACGCUGAGGCGCGAAAGCGUGGGGAGCAAACAGGAUUAGAUACCCUGGUAGUCCACGCCGUAAACGAUGAGUGCUAGUUGUCGGCAUGCAUGCAUGUCGGUGACGCAGCUAACGCAUUAAGCACUCCGCCUGGGGAGUACGGUCGCAAGAUUAAAACUUAAAUGAAUUGACGGGGGUCAUAGCUGUUUCCUG